UAGUGAGGAUGGGAGGAGGGAGUUCGGCCCUCUUCAGCCUCCGAACAACACUACGCUACCAGCUGUCCUGAAAUAACGCUGAAUCACGGCUGCAGUUAAACAUGGUUAUUUAAUCACCUUAACGUUUAAGGACACAUGGUGUUAUUGCGGUUACGCUGUUAUUUUACGAUGGAGUACGGCUGCAGACACCCUACCAAGGACUCGUGCGGCAGCUCCGAAGACAUCAAGCCCAACAGUUCCCAUCCUCUGCAGUGUGGGCUCACUGAACCACAAGAAGAGGCCCAACUCUUCAUUCUGGACACAAAUAGUAGCACACCUGAUGGCCGAAAAGCUUUUUUGCUGGAACGUGAAGUGCAUUUUACAAUCAGCUCACACCUUCACUUCGAACAGAGCCAUAUAAAACUAUAUUUUACCCUAAGCAAAUUACUAAGAUCUGGUCUGCACCUUGACUUGGCCACCCCAGCAUCUCCACUCUUUUCUUUUCUAGCCAUUCAGUUGUACAUUUGCUGGUUGCUUGGAAUAAGCGUCCUGCUGCACGAGCCAGGUUUAGGAACUUUAGCUGUGGGGCAGAUUGCCUCACAUUUGUCUGUAGAAUAGUCUGGUGUGAAGAGAUGUUCGUGGUCAGCUUGAUGACUGCAAGGAGUCCAGUCCUGCGGUUGCAAAAAAAGCCCAAAUCGUCACCCUUCUACCACUGUGCUUUACAGCUGGUAUGAGAACAUUUCAUCAUAAUGACCAAGCAUGUUCACUUUGGUCUCGUCCGAUCGAAGAACAUUGUUCCGGAAACUCUGUAGUUUGCUCAGAUGCGGCCUUGCAAACCUAAGCCAUGCUGCCCUGUUCUUUUUGGAGAGGAGGGCCUCUCUCCUGGCUGCUUUCUCCUUGUUGAGUCUUUUUCUGAUCAUACUCUCAUGAACUUUAUCAUUUAAGAUGGUCUGUAGAUGCCUGGACGGAGCUCCUGGGUUUUCUGUAAUUUCUCUGAACAUUGCAGGAUCUGAUCUUGGGGGGAAUUUGUUGGGAUGCCCCCUCCUGAGAAAACUGGCAACUGUCAACUGAACAUUCUCCAUUUGUAAAAUAACCAUUCCCAUUGUGUCGAAACAGGAACUUGUACUUGAUUUUUCCAUUGUGGUUCCUGAAUUUUGUUGAAUGCACGAUGGCAUUGUGAAACGUGUUCACUGUGAAACAUGUUGUCUGUUACCUGACACUGAAUUUCUCCAGUCUGAGGAGUUGUUGAGGAUCAGUUCCUAUUUAUGCCCUGAUAUAUAAAACCCACAAAAGAGGGUGGACUUUCUUUUCCACAUGACUAUAUAUGGUGGCAAAGGGUGCACUUGUGACUUAUUGUGUCUUAUGAUGACUUACUUUAUUAAAGAUUCCCCAUUUUAACUAAAGUACAUUCCUGUAGAAAAUUUUUAUAAAAGUUGGGUCCACAGUAACUGUAACAUUUAUACAACUGUAUAAAUAUUGACUGUGUUACCCA
rnacentral:lncRNA from 1 species